CCAGGUCAAGUCUGAGCAGGUGCAGUAGCUCCUUCCUGGAACCUGCUGAUUAACCUUGUAAAAUCCAGGGCGCGUUCCUCACCAAGGAAAGCACCGUCCUCCCUCCCUCUCUUGCCUGGGACAGCUGUUAAUAGGACAAUUACCCAAGAAGCAAAAGAAAGAUCCCAUGCCGAUGUGUCAUCAGUCCCGGUAUAUCCACUAAAUCAGACUGAGAAGUGAGAGCUUGGCCUUGCUCCCUAAGGGAGGGGUUGACAGCCACCACCAGGCCUCGCUGGGCAACUGCAGGCUGUUGAGCAGUGGGGAGCCCGAGUGAGAGACGGCUGAAAUGCACAGGGAUUUGGGGUCACAAAAGAGGCAUCCAAGGGGCCAUGGAAAUGGCUUAUAUUUGAUCUUGAGUUUGGUCCCUGGGACUGACAAGGGGGAAGUAGAAAACUGACUCCACAGGGUUGUCCUCUGACAUCCACAGGGAUGCUGUGACCUGUGUAUGCAACUACAGGCAUACACACACACAAAAUAAAUAAAAAUUGAAAAAGGGCCAGCUAACUCUAAGCAUAACUCACCUGUCUACUCCUCCUGGGGAUGCGUGUUUGAUUCUGCCACCUCUCCAAUAGGACAAGCUGCUUCUGCAGGCACCUCUGCCCUCUCUAGUCAGGCCUGAAGGAUGAGUGAGGUCAGUCAGGAAGCCCUCAGAGAAAGGGCUGUGAGGAGAGAGUGCCUGGAGCAUGCUUUGUUCUC
rnacentral:lncRNA from 1 species